CUACGGGAGGCAGCAGUUUCGAAUCAUUCACAAUGGGCGAAAGCCUGAUGGUGCGACGCCGCGUGAGGGAUGAAGGUCUUCGGAUCGUAAACCUCUGUCACCGGGGAAGAAACGCUAAUCGAUAACAUCGCUUAGCCUGACUUAACCCGGAGAGGAAGCAGUGGCUAACUCUGUGCCAGCAGCCGCGGUAAUACAGAGACUGCAAGCGUUAUUCGGAUUCACUGGGCGUAAAGGGUGCGCAGGCGGCCAUGUGUGUGAGGUGUGAAAUCCCGGAGCUUAACUCCGGAACUGCGCCUCAAACUACAUGGCUAGAGCAUUGGAGAGGGAAGUGGAAUUCACGGUGUAGCAGUGAAAUGCGUAGAUAUCGUGAGGAACACCAGAGGCGAAGGCGACUUCCUGGACAAUUGCUGACGCCCAGGCACGAAAGCGUGGGGAGCAAAAGGGAUUAGAAACCCUUGUAGUCC
rnacentral:rRNA from 1 species